rnacentral:rRNA from 1 species
GACGAACGCUGGCGGCGUGCUUAACACAUGCAAGUCGAACGGAAAGGCCCCUUUGGGGGUACUCGAGUGGCGAACGGGUGAGUAACACGUGAGUAACCUGCCCUUGACUUCGGGAUAACUUCAGGAAACUGGGGCUAAUACCGGAUAGGAAUCCUUGCUGCAUGGUGGGGGUUGGAAAGCUUCGGCGGUUUUGGAUGGACUCGCGGCUUAUCAGCUUGUUGGUGGGGUAGUGGCUUACCAAGGCUUUGACGGGUAGCCGGCCUGAGAGGGCGACCGGCCACAUUGGGACUGAGAUACGGCCCAGACUCCUACGGGAGGCAGCGGUGGGGAAUAUUGCACAAUGGGCGGAAGCCUGAUGCAGCAACGCCGCGUGCGGGAUGACGGCCUUCGGGUUGUAAACCGCUUUCAGCAGGGGCGAAGCUUGUGGUGACGGUACCUGCAGAAGAAGCACCGGCUAACUGCGUG